CCCAGGCGUGGUGGUGGGUGCCUGUAAUCCCAGCUACUCGGGAGGCUGAGGCAGGAGGAUUGCUUGAACCCAGGAGGUGGAGGGUGCAGUGAGCCCAGACUGUGCCAUUGCACUCCAGCCUGGGUGACAAGAGUGAAACUCCGUUUCAAAAAAAAAAAAAAAAAAAAAGAGAGACAGGGUCUUGUUCUGCUUUCUGGGCUGGAGUGCAGUGGUGCAAUCAUGGCUCACAGCAGCCUCGAUCUCCAGGGUUCAAGCAAUUCCCCUGCCUCA
rnacentral:sRNA from 1 species